rnacentral:rRNA from 1 species
GAUCAUGGCUCAGGAUGAACGCUGGCGGCGUGCUUAACACAUGCAAGUCGAACGAAGCACUUAAACCUGAUUCUUCGGAUGAAGAGGUUUGUGACUGAGUGGCGGACGGGUGAGUAACGCGUGGGUAACCUGCCUCAUACAGGGGGAUAACAGUUAGAAAUGACUGCUAAUACCGCAUAAGACCACGGAGCCGCAUGGCUCAGUGGGAAAAACUCCGGUGGUAUGAGAUGGACCCGCGU